rnacentral:tRNA from 1 species
GGGCGGGUAGCUUAGUCUGGUUAGAGCGCCGGUCUUAUAAGCCGGAGGCCGGGAGUUCAAAUCUCCUCCUGCCCA